rnacentral:rRNA from 1 species
GACGAACGCUGGCGGCGUGCCUAAUACAUGCAAGUCGAGCGGAUUUUUGGGAGCUUGCUCCCGAAAAUUAGCGGCGGACGGGUGAGUAACACGUGGGCAACCUGCCUAUAAGACUGGGAUAACUUCGGGAAACCGGAGCUAAUACCGGAUAAUUCCUUUCCUCUCAUGAGGGAAGGCUGAAAGACGGUUUACGCUGUCACUUAUAGAUGGGCCCGCGGCGCAUUAGCUAGUUGGUGAGGUAACGGCUAACCAAGGCGACGAUGCGUAGCCGACCUGGGAGGGUGAGCGGCCACCCUGGGACUGAGACACGGCCCAGACUCCUACGGGAGGCAGCAGAAGGGAAUCUUCCGCAAUGGACGAAAGUCUGACGGAGCAACGCCGCGUGAGUGAUGAAGGUUUUCGGAUCGUAAAACUCUGUUGUUAGGGAAGAACAAGUACGAGAGUAACUGCUCGUACCUUGACGGUACCUAACCAGUAAGCCACGGCUAACUACGUGCCAGCCGCCGCAGUAAAAC